GAUACAGAAAAGAUAAAAAGGGUUCAGAAUUCCAUACUCGAUCUCAUAGAUCCCUAUAGAAUUCUGUGGAAAGUCGUAUUCGAUGAAAGUCGUAUGUACGGCUUGGAGGGAGAUCUUUCGUUUGGAAAUUUCCCGAAAAGCUAA
rnacentral:rRNA from 1 species